UACGUAGGGGGCAAGCGUUGUCCGGAUUUAUUGGGCGUAAAGCGCUCGCAGGUGGUUCGUCGCGUCGUGCGUGAAAGACCCCGGCUCAACUGGGGGGCGUCGUGCGAAACGGGCGGGACUGGAGGCCAGUAGGGGGAUGGCGGAAUUCCGGGGUGUAGUGGUGGAAUGCGUAGAGAUCCGGAGGAAGACCGGUGGCGAAGGCGGUCUGCUGGGCAGUUUCUGACACUGAGGCGCGACAGCGUGGGGAGCAAACAGG
rnacentral:rRNA from 1 species